CCUUUGCGCCGACCUCAGAGCAAGUG
rnacentral:rRNA from 1 species